rnacentral:misc_RNA from 1 species
AUCAUCUCCUUCACGCCUCUUCAUUGGAUGGUGCGAGAAUGUUCUCGGCCGUAAUCGGUUAUCCUGUGUUGCGUACCUAUCUCGAUGGCAUUUUGUUGGCUAAAUGUAUUUGGUUUCCGACGUGUCUCGUUCCUCCUUGCGGGGGGGAAUUGAUAUAUGUUGGACCUCAAGGCAGUCGUUGUGUUUCGAACUAUGAUCAACUCAAUGAGUGAUUUUAGUUGCUGAGCCACAAUGCAAUGCUUGAUAUCUUGGGUGUGGAGCACUUGUGGGACGAGGUCUUUGCCUCCGAUCACCUCAUCAAAUAAGCGUUCUACGCUUCGUGCGAACGACGGUCGGCCCGGUCUUUCUCCAUGCUCUUGAAGCAUGGUUGGAGUCGUGUCGGUGUCGG